rnacentral:rRNA from 1 species
CCUGACUGCUAUCGGAUUGAUACUAAGCCAUGCGAGUCAUUGUAGCAAUACAAGGCAGACGGCUCAGUAACGCGUAGUCAACCUACCCUAUGGACGGGAAUAACCUCGGGAAACUGAGUAUAAUGCCCGAUAGAACACUAUACCUGGAAUGGUUUGUGUUCCAAAUGAUUUAUCGCCAUAGGAUGGGACUGCGGCCUAUCAGUUUGUUGGUGAGGUAAUGGCCCACCAAGACUAUUACAGGUACGGGCUCUGAGAGGAGUGGCCCGGAGAUGGGUACUGAGACACGGACCCAGGCCCUAUGGGGCGCAGCAGGCGAGAAAACUUUGCAAUGUGCGAAAGCGCGACAAGGUUAAUCCGAGUGGUUUCUGCUAAAGGAACCUUUUGACAGUCCUAGAAACACUGUUGAAUAAGGGGUGGGCAAGUUCUGGUGUCAGCCGCCGCGGUAAAACCAGCACCUCAAGUGGUCAGGAUGAUUAUUGGGCCUAAAGCAUCCGUAGCCGGCUCUGUAAGUUUUCGGUUAAAUCUGUACGCUUAACGUACAGGCUGCUGGGAAUACUGCAGAGCUAGGGAGUGGGAGAGGUAGACGGUACUCGGGAGGAAGUGGUAAAAUGCUUUGAUCUCUCGAUGACCACCUGUGGCGAAGGCGGUCUACCAGAACACGUCCGACGGUGAGGGAUGAAAGCUGGGGGAGCAAACCGGAUUAGAUACCCGGGUAGUCCCAGCUGUAAACUAUGCAAACUCAGUGAUGCACUGGCUUUUGGCCAGUGCAGUGUUGCAGGGAAGCCGUUAAGUUUGCCGCCUGGGAAGUACGUACGCAAGUAUGAAAC